UUCAGACGAUGCGUCAUGCAUAUCAAUAAGCGGAGGAAAAGAAACUAACAAGGAUUCCCCUAGUAACGGCGAGUGAAGCGGGAAGAGCUCAAAUUUGAAAUCUUAAAGGGUUUCCCUUUACGAAUUGUAGUUUAAAGAAGUGUUUUCUGUUGAGGUUUUGGUAAAAGUUCUUUGGAAUAGGACAUCAUAGAGGGUGAGAAUCCCGUAUUUGACCUUUACUUUCAACUUUGUGAUACACUUUCAAAGAGUCGGAUUGUUUGGGAAUGCAGUCCAAAAUGGGUGGUAAAUUUCAUCUAAAGCUAAAUAUUGGCGAGAGACCGAUAGCGAACAAGUACCGUGAGGGAAAGAUGAAAAGAACUUUGAAAAGAGAGUUAAACAGUACGUGAAAUUGUCAAAAGGGAAGCGUUUGACACCAGUGUUGUUUUUCUGAAAAUCAAUUAAAGAACUGUUUAUGCUAAGUUGUUUAGACUUUAUCAGCUAACUGUUUAGUUUUGAGCUUUUCUUUAAUGCACUUUUCAGUUAACAAGUCAACAUCAAUUUCUUUUGCUGUAAAAAAGCUUGAGGAAGGUGGCUUGAGAUUCGUCUUAAGUGUUUAUAGCCUCUUGCCUAUGCAGUCGGAGAGAUUGAGGUCUGCAGCGUAGAUCCUUCGGGGCUAAAUGCAUUUGUGCUAAGUUAUAGCAUUUUAUAGACAACUUGUUGACUAUGAUUUGUCUUGUAGCUUACUCGCUUAUGUUAUUUUACCUACGCUUAGGAUGUUGAAUCUGUGCGAGACUAC
rnacentral:rRNA from 1 species